rnacentral:rRNA from 1 species
UACGUAGGGGGGCAACGUUGUCCGGAAUCAUUGGGCGUAAAGAGCGCGUAGGCGGUCCGGUAAGUCCGCUCUGAAAGUCCGGGGGCUCAACCCCCGGAAGGCGGGCGGAUACUGUCGGGCUAGAGUCCGGAAGAGGCGAGUGGAAUUCCUGGUGUAGCGGUGAAAAUGCGCAGAUAUCAGGAGGAACACCAAUGCCGAAGGCAGCUCGCUGGGACGGUACUGACGCUGAGGCGCGAAAGCGUGGGGAGCAAACAGG